rnacentral:rRNA from 1 species
UACGAAGGGGGCUAGCGUUGUUCGGAAUUACUGGGCGUAAGGCGCGCGCAGGCGGUCUUCCAAGUCAGUGGUGAAAGCCCGGAGCUCAACUCCGGAACUGCCAUUGAAACUGUAAGACUUGAGGAUGAGAGAGGUGAGUGGAAUUCCCAGUGUAGAGGUGAAAUUCGUAGAUAUUGGGAAGAACACCGGUGGCGAAGGCGGCUCACUGGCUCAUAUCUGACGCUCAGGCGCGACAGCGUGGGGAUCAAACAGG